rnacentral:rRNA from 1 species
GACGAACGCUGGCGGCGUGCCUAACACAUGCAAGUCGAACGGGGUAAUCCUUCGGGGUUACUUAGUGGCGAACGGGUGAGUAACGCGUGAGAAACCUGACUUUCAGUGGGGGACAACAGUUGGAAACGACUGCUAAUACCGCAUAAUGUACACGGACAGCAUGAUCGGUGUACCAAAGCUUUAUGUGCUGAAAGAUGGUCUCGCGUCUGAUUAGCUAGUUGGUGAGGUAACGGCUACCCAAGGCGACGAUCAGUAGCCGGUCUGAGAGGAUGAACGGCAACAUUGGGACUGAGAUACGGCCCAGACUCCUACGGGAGGCAGCAGUGGGGAAUAUUGGGCAAUGGAGGAAACCCUGACCCAGCAACGCCGCGUGAAGGAAGAAGGCCUUCGGGUUGUAAACUUCUUUUAGCAGGGACGAAGAACGUGACGGUACCUGCAGAAAAAGCAACGGCUAACUACGUGCCAGCAGCCGCGGUAAGAC